rnacentral:pre_miRNA from 1 species
GAGGUACUCCCUCCAUUCGGAAUUACUUGUCUCAGAAAUGGAUGUAUCUAGAACUAAAAUACGUCUAGAUACACCCAUUUCUGCGACAAGUAAUUCCGAACGGAGGGAGUAUAUU